AGAAUCAACGCUGGCGGCGUGCCUAACACAUGCAAGUCGAACGUCUCUUCUUUCGGGAAGAGGAGUGGCGGACGGGUGAGGAACACGUGGGAACCUGCCCUUCAGUGAGGAAUACCGGCGAGAAAUCGCCGACAAGACCGCAUAGCCCUCUCUGGUGAGAGCCAGAGAAGGAAAGCUUCGCAAGAGGCGCUGGAGGAGGGGCCUGCGUCCGAUUAGCUAGUUGGUGGGGUAAGAGCCUACCAAGGCGUCGAUCGGUAGCUGGUCUGAGAGGACGAUCAGCCACACUGGGAUUGAGAACGGCCCAGACUCCUACGGGGGGCAGCAGUGAGGAAUUUUCGGCAAUGGGGGAAACCCUGACCGAGCAACGCCGCGUGCAGGAAGACGGCCUUCGGGUUGUAAACUGCUUUUCUUUGGGUACGAGCAAGGACGGUACCAGAGGAUCAGCCCGGCUCACUACGUGCCAGCAGCCGC
rnacentral:rRNA from 1 species